rnacentral:tRNA from 1 species
CCUUCGGUAGCUCAGCUGGUAGAGCGGAGGGCUGUAGACUUGAUGACGUGUGGACAUCCUUAGGUCGCUGGUUCGAUUCCGGCUCGAAGGA